rnacentral:rRNA from 1 species
GACGAACGCUAGCGGCGUGCUUAACACAUGCAAGUCGAACGGUGAAGGGAUCAGUUUUCUGGUUCUGGAUGAGUGGCGAACGGGUGAGUAACACGUGAGUAACCUGCCCCCUUCUUCUGGAUAACCGCAUGAAAGUGUGGCUAAUACGGGAUAUUCUGCGCCUGCUGCAUGGUGGGUGUGGGAAAGAUAUUGUUUCGGUGGGGGAUGGGCUCGCGGCCUAUCAGCUUGUUGGUGGGGUGAUGGCCUACCAAGGCGGUGACGGGUAGCCGGCCUGAGAGGGUGGACGGUCACACUGGGACUGAGACACGGCCCAGACUCCUACGGGAGGCAGCAGUGGGGAAUAUUGCACAAUGGGCGCAAGCCUGAUGCAGCGACGCCGCGUGAGGGAUGGAGGCCUUCGGGUUGUGAACCUCUUUCGCCAGUGAAGCAGGCCUGUCCCUUGUGGGUGGGUUGACG